AUUGUAGGUGACUACAUGGAACAAAUGACUUGCUGUUUUUCAGAAACUGCUUUUCUUUCAAGGAAAAUCAUUAAGGACAAUGGAGAUCCUCUUGAUAAAGAUUACGGCCGAGCAGCAGGAUAGAAGCAAAGCACCCAGCUCCACACUCGUGGUUCCUGAUACAUAGAGGAAACCAGCAACUUUCCAUCUCAUUGAGGGGAGAAACUGGCAAGUUUAUUAUAUUCUCCUGGGUCUAAUCAGGAAACCAAAAUAGGAAAACUUAUAUAUUCUCAUCAAGGAAGCUGUUGGGCGGUGUG
rnacentral:lncRNA from 1 species